UCUUGCUAAGCAGUUGGUCAAUUUGCAUCUGCACUCGAUCAGACAGCUGUUUUGCUUGAUACAGAUGGCUGAAGUUGUCUGCCAAGUUCUGCAACCUUAACGGAUACGCCACCGGUACCCUAAACAGCCGAGUACACUCUGCACACAUACAAUCAGUAAAUCCUGCAUCUUGAUGAGUAACACCAUCAAGCUCCACGUUUAUCCAUGCCACACCUAGAGUUCAGAUGGUCGCUGGAGGAGAUGCUCUUGGCAACAAUACAACACUCUUGAUUCAGUAAGUACCACUAAGCCUGUACAAUUUGUUUGUGUGAUUAUUAAAACGUUGGUGUUUAUUCACACAUCUUAGUGCUUUUGGUUUGUUAUAUACCUAUGGGCAUCAUUGAAAAUUUUGAAUUUGGUAAUUACACUACAUUAUACAAUUUGUAGAGUAUCAGUUUGUUCUCCACUCA